rnacentral:rRNA from 1 species
AACGAACGCUGGCGGCAGGCUUAACACAUGCAAGUCGAGCGCCCCGCAAGGGGAGCGGCAGACGGGUGAGUAACGCGUGGGAAUCUACCCAUCCCUACGGAACAACUCCGGGAAACUGGAGCUAAUACCGUAUACGCCCUACGGGGGAAAGAUUUAUCGGGGAUGGAUGAGCCCGCGUUUGAUUAGCUAGUUGGUGGGGUAAAGGCCUACCAAGGCGACGAUCCAUAGCUGGUCUGAGAGGAUGAUCAGCCACAUUGGGACUGAGACACGGCCCAAACUCCUACGGGAGGCAGCAGUGGGGAAUAUUGGACAAUGGGCGCAAGCCUGAUCCAGCCAUGCCGCGUGAGUGAUGAAGGCCUUAGGGUUGUAAAGCUCUUUCACCGAUGAAGAUAAUGACGGUAGUCGGAGAAGAAGCCCCGGCUAACUUCGUGCCAGCCGCCGCAGUAA